UUGGACUUGAUUGAUUGUGACUUUUAAUUCC
rnacentral:piRNA from 1 species